CCUACGGGAGGCAGCAGUGAGGAAUAUUGGUCAAUGGCCGAGAGGCUGAACCAGCCAAGUCGCGUGAGGGAAGACGGCCCUACGGGUUGUAAACCUCUUUUGUCGGGGAGCAAAGCGAGUCACGUGUGACUCAUUGAGAGUACCCGAAGAAAAAGCAUCGGCUAACUCCGUGCCAGCAGCCGCGGUAAUACGGAGGAUGCGAGCGUUAUCCGGAUUUAUUGGGUUUAAAGGGUGCGCAGGCGGAGGUGCAAGUCAGCGGUCAAAUUGCGGGGCUCAACCCCGUACUGCCGUUGAAACUGCAGCCCUUGAGUGCGCGAGAAGUAGGCGGAAUGCGUGGUGUAGCGGUGAAAUGCAUAGAUAUCACGCAGAACUCCGAUUGCGAAGGCAGCAUACCGGCGCGCAACUGACGCUCAUGCACGAAAGCGUGGGUAUCGAACAGGAUUAGAUACCCCUGUAGUG
rnacentral:rRNA from 1 species